rnacentral:rRNA from 1 species
AUUGAACGCUGGCGGCAUGCCUUACACAUGCAAGUCGAACGGUAACAGGUCUUCGGAUGCUGACGAGUGGCGAACGGGUGAGUAAUACAUCGGAACGUGCCUAGUAGUGGGGGAUAACUACUCGAAAGAGUGGCUAAUACCGCAUGAGAUCUACGGAUGAAAGCAGGGGAUCGCAAGACCUUGUGCUAUUAGAGCGGCCGAUGGCAGAUUAGGCAGUUUGUAGGAUAAAAGCUUACCAAGCCGACGAUCUGUAGCUGGUCUGAGAGGACGCUCAGCCAAACUGGGACUGAGACACGGCCCAGACUCCUCCGGGAGGCAGCAGUGGGGAAUUUUGGACAAUGGGCGCAAGCCUGAUCCAGCAAUGCCGCGUGCAGGAUGAAGGCCUUCGGGUUGUAAACUGCUUUUGUACGGAAAGAAAAGCCCUGGGUUAAUACCCUGGGGUCAUGACGGUACCGUAAGAAUAAGCACCGGCUAACUACGUGCCAGCCGCCGCUGUAACAC